GACGGCCUGCGUAUGACUCAGGUUCUUUUGAAAUUCUCAGUUAACAUUUGAACCCUGACUUUCUUUACUGUGACGACUAUUGUUCACGUAACACUUUCAACCAGAAUCAUCUCGACCUUGCUGUUUCUUAAGAUUUUACUUUUCUAUCAGCAGCUCCUGACGAUAGAUCAAAUACUUCUUGUAUCAUAACAAACAAAAAUUCUUACCCUCGACUUGUUUUCCAGAUUCAAGAACACACCCACCAAAAGUUUAACCUAACUCAUCAUAACCUAACUCAGCUGGAUUCUUGCUUCUAUGAUUAUUUGAUAGUUCUUCAUCUCUUUUUCUUCAUGGAGUAUCUCAAGAAUAAUGGAUUUAAGUGUUUAAAAAUGCUUUGUUUGUUUGUUUCUCCGCAACAAUUCUUGUAGAUCAUGUUCCUUAGGCCAUAUUUUCAUUGAUGCUUUACAUAUAUAUAUAUAUAGAGGAACUAUUGAAAUUGCCUUGGUUGAUUUGGAUUUGUGUAAUUAAAGGAUUGGUUAGUUCUGUGAUGUUUGCUUCACAAUCAUACGUACAACUAACUUUAACAAGUGGUCUACAAGACAAACAAUUGAAAUCGUUUAUAUUAUCUAUUUAUCUAACGCGAAAAGCGUAACUACUAACAUAAACCUAUGAAACAAAGAGCCGAACUAUGUCGAUUAAAUAAAAGAAACGAAAACGAAUUAUAUAAAAGGCGGGAAUGUAUCACAAGCUAAAAUACCAAAGAGAUUCCUCUCAUUCUAAGAAAAAAAGCUUUCCACUCCUAAUCGUCGAAGAUAGUCGUCGUAGGCUCGUCGCUGAGUAGUAAACUAGGUUUCUUCUCCCCCAUAUUAGCUCAACAAGUGCCACAGUAGCCUUGACCGCCACAACGACCACCUCUAAAGCGACCACCAACAAGAAGACCACGGCCACGACCACCGGAAAAACGACCAUAACUGUCAUAACUGUCCUGACCGUAAUCACCAGGAAAACGCCAAAAACGGUCGUAAUUCUCCCGACCAUCAUCGAAGAAGCGACAAAAAGGGUCAACGGUCUCCUGGCCACGA
rnacentral:lncRNA from 1 species